rnacentral:rRNA from 1 species
UGGCCGUCCGAGUUGUAAUUUAGAGAAGCGUCUUCCGCGCUGGACCAUGCACAAGUCUCCUGGAAUGGAGCGUCAUAGAGGGUGAGAAUCCCGUCUUUGGCAUGGAUGCCCGGUGCUUCUGUGAUGCGCUCUCGAAGAGUCGAGUUGUUUGGGAAUGCAGCUCAAAAUGGGUGGUGAACUCCAUCUAAAGCUAAAUAUUGGCGAGAGACCGAUAGCGAACAAGUACCGUGAGGGAAAGAUGAAAAGCACUUUGGAAAGAGAGUGAAACAGUACGUGAAAUUGUUGAAAGGGAAACGCUUGAAGUCAGUCGCGUCGACCGAGACUCAGCCUUGCCUUGGCUUGGUGUACUUCUCGGCCAGACGGGUCAGCAUCAAUUUCGCCCCUUGGAUAAUGGCAGGGGAAAGGUGGCACCUUUACGGGUGUGUUAUAGUCUCUUGUCGCAUGCGGGGGGUGGGAUUGAGGAACUCAGCGUGCACCUCGGUGUCGGGGCUUCGGCCCACGUCACACGCUUAG